rnacentral:rRNA from 1 species
GCAGUCGAACGAUGAUCCGGUGCUUGCACCGGGGAUUAGUGGCGAACGGGUGAGUAACACGUGAGUAACCUGCCCUUGACUCUGGGAUAAGCCUGGGAAACCGGGUCUAAUACCGGAUACGACCUUUCACCGCAUGGUGGUUGGUGGAAAGAUUUUUUGGUUUUGGAUGGACUCGCGGCCUAUCAGCUUGUUGGUGAGGUAAUGGCUCACCAAGGCGACGACGGGUAGCCGGCCUGAGAGGGUGACCGGCCACACUGGGACUGAGACACGGCCCAGACUCCUACGGGAGGCAGCAGUGGGGAAUAUUGCACAAUGGGCGAAAGCCUGAUGCAGCGACGCCGCGUGAGGGAUGACGGCCUUCGGGUUGUAAACCUCUUUCAGCAGGGAAGAAGCGAAAGUGACGGUACCUGCAGAAGAAGCGCCGGCUAACUACGUGCCAGCAGCCGCGGUAAUACGUAGGGCGCAAGCGUUGUCCGGAAUUAUUGGGCGUAAAGAGCUCGUAGGCGGUUUGUCGCGUCUGCUGUGAAAGCCCGGGGCUCAACCCCGGGUCUGCAGUGGGUACGGGCAGACUAGAGUGCAGUAGGGGAGACUGGAAUUCCUGGUGUAGCGGUGAAAUGCGCAGAUAUCAGGAGGAACACCGAUG